rnacentral:snRNA from 1 species
GCACUGGCUUCAGCAGCACAUGUAUUGGAAUUGGAAUGAUACGCAAAGGAUUAGCAUGGCCCCCACACAAAGAUGACAACAAAUUCGUGAAGUGGUCGUAUUUUUC